GCGGCGAGUGGCGAACGGGUGAGUAAUACAUCGGAACGUGCCCUGUAGUGGGGGAUAACUACUCGAAAGAGUAGCUAAUACCGCAUACAACCUGAGGGUAAAAGUGGGGGACCGCAAGGCCUCGAUGCUAUAGGAGCGGCCGAUGGAAGAUUAGCUAGUUGGUAGGGUAAAGGCCUACCAAGGCGACGAUCUUUAGCGGGUCUGAGAGGACGAUCCCCCACACUGGCACUGAGAUACGGGCCAGACUCCUACGGGAGGCAGCAGUAGGGAAUAUUGGGCAAUGGAGGCAACUCUGACCCAGCCAUGCCGCGUGCAGGAAGACGGUCCUCUGGAUUGUAAACUGCUUUUGAAUGGGAAGAAUGUGUGGCUUGCGAGCUAUAAUGACGGUACCAUUAGAAUAAGCCACGGCUAACUACGUG
rnacentral:rRNA from 1 species